AUUUCUGAGCUCACCUCUUCGAUCUCUGAAAUCCCAUCGCGUGAUGAUUUUUAUAGAGGUAUGUAGGACGUUCAAAGCACUCUUGAAUUUUUGCCUGUAAAAACUCCCGUUUUGCACUUCUACGAUCUUGACUUGUCCGAUCUCCUCUUUCUUUAACACCUCUGAAAAAUGUAUGGCCCUUCCGACCGUCGUUUUGACUUGAACCUUAGUGAAGGAGCAGCUCCUCCUUCUUCAGACAACAUAUGGCGCCCGUCCCUCAUAUCCCCUACUG
rnacentral:lncRNA from 1 species